rfam:Saprolegnia diclina VS20 unplaced genomic scaffold supercont1.16, whole genome shotgun sequence.
CACCUGGCUUUUCUAAAAGCCACCCACUUUCCAAGAAGUAUCGCC